UACGUAGGGGGCUAGCGUUGUCCGGAAUCAUUGGGCGUAAAGAGCGUGUAGGCGGCCCGGUAAGUCCGCUGUAAAAGUCAAAGGCUCAACCUUUGAAUGUCAGUGGAUACUGCCGGGCUAGAGUCCGGAAGAGGCGAGUGGAACUCCUGGUGUAGCGGUGGAAUGCGCAGAUAUCAGGAAGAACACCCAGCGGCGAAGGCGUCUCGUGGGACGGUACUGACGCUGAGACGCGAAAGCGUGGGGAGCGAACAGGA
rnacentral:rRNA from 1 species